rnacentral:rRNA from 1 species
AUUGAACGCUGGCGGCAGGCCUAACACAUGCAAGUCGAACGAGUGGCGGACGGGUGAGUAAUGUCUGGGAAACUGCCCGAUGGAGGGGGAUAACUACUGGAAACGGUAGCUAAUACCGCAUACCAGCGGAUGUGCCCAGAUGGGAUUAGCUAGUAGGUGGGGUAACGGCUUACCUAGGCGCCGAUCCCUAGCUGGUCUGAGAGGAUGACCAGCCACACUGGAACUGUGACACGGUCCAGACUCCGACGGGAGGCAUAUGUGGGGAAUAUUGCACAAUGGGCGCAAGCCUGAUGCAGCCAUGCCGCGUGGAUGAAGAAGGCCUUCGGGUUUUAAAGUACUUUCAGCGGGGAGGCGUUACUCGCAGAAGAAGCACCGGCUAACUCCGUGCCAGCAGCCGCGGUAAUUC